rnacentral:tRNA from 1 species
GGGGUUGUGGCUCAGUGGUAGAGCGCUCACCUCACAUGUGUGAGACUUGGGUUCAGUCCUCAGUACCA